rnacentral:misc_RNA from 1 species
GAUGAAGAACGCAGUGAAAUGCGAUAAGUAGUGUGAAUUGCAGAAUUCAGCGAAUCAUCGAAUCUUUGAACGCACAUUGCGCCCUUCGGUUAUUCCUUAGGGCAUGCCUGUUCGAGCGUCAUUUCAACCUUCAAGCCUGGCUUGGUGUUGGGCGCUGUCCCGCCUCCGCGCGCGGACUCGCCCCAAAUGAAUUGGCAGUCGCACCCUCCGAGCCGCGAGCGCAGCACAAGUCGCGCGGGCGGAACUCUGGGGGGACGGACGCUCCACAAGACCCUUUCUCAGUCUUGACCUCGGAUCAGGUAGGGAUACCCGCUGAACUUAAGCAUAUCAAUAAGCGGAGGA